rnacentral:rRNA from 1 species
AUUGAACGCUGGCGGCCGGCUUAACACAUGCAAGUCGAGCGAGCGGCGGACGGGUGAGUAAUGUCUGGGAAACUGCCUGAUGGAGGGGGAUAACUACUGGAAACGGUAGCUAAUACCGCAUACCAUCAGAUGUGCCCAGAUGGGAUUAGCUAGUCGGUGGGGUAAUGGCUCACCUAGGCGACGAUCACUAGCUGGUCUGAGAGGAGGACCAGCCAAACUGAAACGGAGACACGGUCCAGACGCCUACGGGAGGCAGCAGUGGGGAAUAUUGGACAAUGGGCGCAAGCCUGAUGCAGCCAUGCCGCGUGUGUGAAGAAGGCCUUCGGGUGGUAAAGCACUUGCAGCGAGGAGGCGUUAUUCGCAGAAGAAGCACCGGCUAACUCCGUGCCAGCAGCCGCGGUAAUAC